GUGCUCGCUUCGGCAGCACAUAUACUAAAAUUGGAACGAUACAGAGA
rnacentral:snRNA from 1 species